rnacentral:rRNA from 1 species
UACGGAGGGUGCGAGCGUUAAUCGGAAUGACUGGGCGUAAAGCGCGCGUAGGUGGUUAGUUAAGUUGAAUGUGAAAGCCCAGGGCUCAACCUUGGAAUUGCAUCCAAAACUGAUUGACUAGAGUACAGUAGAGGGGGGUAGAAUUUCCGGUGUAGCGGUGAAAUGCGUAGAGAUCGGAAGGAAUACCAGUGGCGAAGGCG